UACGUAGGGUGCAAGCGUUAAUCGGAAUUACUGGGCGUAAAGCGUGCGCAGGCCGUGAUGUAAGACCGUUGUGAAAUCCCCGGGCUCAACCUGGGAACUGCAUCUGUGACUGCAUCGCUGGAGUGCGGCAGAGGGGGAUGGAAUUCCGCGUGUAGCAGUGAAAUGCGUAGAUAUGCGGAGGAACACCGAUGGCGAAGGCAAUCCCCUGGGCCUGCACUGACGCUCAUGCACGAAAGCGUGGGGAGCAAACAGG
rnacentral:rRNA from 1 species